GGAGGUGCGCGCCGAGAGGAUCGCUAUGGAGACGCGAGGGCGCGGCCGGGACGGGGACUGGGGCCCUACUCCCCGGAGGCCUCCCCACCCAGCCUCCCGGUGGGGCGGGGCCGAGGCAACAGGGCCGGGAAAGGUGGGGCUGGGGCCCCCGGUGGCCGCUACCCGUGGGGCGGUGGCUCCGCACCUCGGGCUCGGGGCCGCGGCUCAGAGCCUGGCUCCCCACCCCGGCAGAACAGAUCCACGGAGACCGCCGCCAGGAGUGCCGCGCGGGUAGGACCCGGGGGCGGAGGACUGGGGCCGAGAGGCCGGGGAGCCCCCCCCCACCCAUUAAGGACUGCGGAGGCUGUCGAGGAGGGUUACCCAUUUUACAGCAAGACGCACGGAGGCUAAAAUGCUUCACCCCGACUAAAACUCCCUGGACUUUGAAGCCCAAUAGGCAGCUACCGGAUCUGCGUCCCACUUGGUUUAAAGCGCAACUUUUAAAUGAAAGAAGAAAACCCCGGUUGACAUAAGGGAUUUGGAGAGGACGGCGGAGGCGCGCUCAUCUCCCGCGUGCGGCCCGACCCGAGCGUUCGCGGACGCAUCGCGGAAUCCCCGAGCGUCCGGCUCCUCCCGAAGCGGGUUGCGGGGAAGGCGGGGGGCUGCGGGUCCUGGAAGCUGCCUGGGGCAAGCAAGCACCCGCAGGGAUUUAGAGCUGUGCCACAGCCCCUGCCCAGCCUCCUACGGAGGACAGCGGGGGGCGGGGGGCAGAGACCUUAGAGCUUUCAGAAAAGUGACACACACCCCCGCCUCCUGCGGGGAACCACGGGGGGCCGGGGGCAGCUUUAGGUUUGCGUGACGGGUACACCUGCCUCCGGAUGGGGCACAGGGAUAAAGGGGGUGGAGGCUUAGGACUUGGCGACCCCCCGCAUGGGCGGGGCUUUGGGACUGUGCCACCAGCGGCUGGGAAGGGCGCGCACUCCCUUGGUGGCGCUCGGGGCGCCGGAGUCCAGUGCAGCCCUUAGGCCUCCCAGUGGUCGGGGACGGUAGGUGGGGGUCGCCUCUUCUCUCCUAGAAGGGCUUCUCCUGGGGCCGGUCGGAGCGGUGGGGGUGGGAGUAAUGCGCAGUCACCCCUAGAACGGGUCUUUUUGGCAAGGGAGGGUCGGAUCCUGCAGCCAAAUCUCUGAGCUGAGCUGAGAUGAGUCCAGUCUCAACGAGGACCGUGGGCGGCUGUGGAGAACCGGAAGGGUUUCUCCCCCGGAGCGAUGUGUCUGUGUGUGUGUCACACGCAUACUCAGCCAACUUCGCUCAAAGCUGCUGAAACAGUGUCUUUGUGCUGAAGCCCAAUGUGAGCAUUUUCUUCCCAGUAGCAAGGAUUUGAACACGUUAUAUUGAUCUAAAAGGUGGAGUUGCUUUGGAACCUUUUAAUUCGAGGUUUCCACUGGAGAGUCCUGUUGGGAAAUGUGUGUGUGGAGGGAGGGGAGGAAGGAGAAAAGUCCGUCUCCUUAAUGUGAGCGGUCCAGGACCUCCCCACCCGCCAUAUACCCUUCCACUGGGAUUUUUCCGGGAAGGAUGAAAGGACAGGAGUUCUGGGGCCGGAAGGCAGGGCGGGUCCCUGAGCCCGGAGCCUCCCAGUGGAAGGCUACUGGGCGGACCUGAAGGGGACCCAGGCAGGAGGAAAAACCAGAGAACCCCAGGAGUGCCUGUUUUGCAAUAAGGCUUUAAGCAGAGUGGGUUGGGUUUAAAUAAACAAAACUCAGCUGCAGCCAGUGGGUUCAGGUGUGGGCCUGCUUUUCUGGAAUAAGGCACCUGCAGGCUGCGAGGUAACCACAGGGACUGCCCAACACCUAGGGACAGGGGAGGAUGGAUGAAUCUCACUAACAGGAUGUCCAGCAAAGACAAAAGAUCAUUCCAUUCACGCUUAGACCGACAGCAAGCCCGACUCCACCAUAACGUUUAGAGGUGUGCACAAAUAGGGGAAAGAUGAAGAAAAACAAGGAGGUGAUUAUGGGCACAUUCAGGAGGGCUCUGGGGGAGGAGGGGCAUCCCCUUCUGGACCUGAGGGUUACCAGAGUGUCGGCUUCAUGAUCACACUUUGAACUCCAAACACAUGAUUUGCGUACUUUUCCCUAUGCCUGCAUCUAGAGUCGGCAGUUUUUGUUUUUUUUUGUUUUGUUUUGUUUUGUUUUGUUUUGUUUUUUUGAGACAGAGUUUCACUGUUGUUGCCCAGGCUGGAGUGCAAUGGCACGAUCUCAGCUUACCACAACCUCCGCCUUCCAGGUUCAAGCAAUUCUGCCUCAGCCUCCCUAGUAGCUGGGAUUACAGGCGUGCGCCUCACGCCCGGCUAAUUUUGUAUUUUCAGUAGAGACGGGGUUUCUCCAUGUUGGUCAGGCUGGUCUCGAACUCCCAACCUCGUGAUCCGCCCACCUCGGCCUCCCAAAGUGCUGGGAUUACAGGCAUGAGCCACCGUGCCUGGCCUAUUUUUAUUUAUUGCUAAAUAGAGAUGGGGUCUUGCUAUGUUGCCUAGGUUGAUCUCAAACUUCUGGGCUCAAGAGAUCCUCCCACUUCAGCCUCUCAAAGUGCUAGGAUUACAGGUAUGAGCCACCACACCCUAUUUAGAGUCCACAGUUUUAUUUUAUUUUACUUUAUUUAUUUUUGAGACGGAGUUUUGCUCUCUCACCUAGGCUGGAGGACAGUGGCGCGAUCUCAGCUCAAUGCAACCUCCACCUCCUGGGUUCAAGCAAUUCUCCUGCCUCAGCCUCCAGAGUAGCUGGGAUUAUAGGCACACACCACCAGUCCUGACUAAUGUGUGUAUGUUUAGUAGAGACGGUUUCGCCAUGUUGACCAGGCUGGUCUGGAACUCCUGACCUCAGGUGAUCCACCCACCUCAGCCUCCCAAAGUGCUGGGAUUACAGGCAUGAGCCACCGCGCCGGGCCUAGAAUCCACAAUUUUAAGUAAGUGGGGAGGGGAGAGGGACUAACAAGACGGAGGCCGCAGCUUGUGCUGAGACGGCCAGGUGGUCCGGCCGCAUCAGAAAUCACGAGUUUGGAAUGACUGGCACCUUCGAGGGGUUGAGCUUUAAUUCUGCCACUAACUAGUUGUGUGACCUUCGCCAAGGCCUAACUCCUUGUUCUAACUGGACACAAUAGUCCUAGACUCCUAGCGUUGUUGAAGGAUUAACAAGACAAUCUGUGUGAAGCGGUCGGCACAGGGUCUGGCUCAGGCAUGGAUCUGCCAGUAAUAGCAUUUACUAUUUUCACAGUUGCUGUUUCCUAGCAUGAGUUCAAGGCUGCCUCCUCUCUGUCUUCAUUAUGUGAAUUGAAUGUGGUCACACAUCUGUGUUGGAGCAGAGGCAGGGGCUGCAGCUUUCAGCUGAUUUCCCAAGGGGUCUGUACUUGGACACUGAUCCAGUCCACCCAAUGUGUUUCCAGAAAGUGGAGCUGAUUCCUGGAGAGCAGAAGGGAUAUAUGUGGGGCUUUUUGUAAAGGGCAGUGACCUAUGUGGUGGGCUUGUCCACUGCCCGAGUCUGCGGCUCCCACAGGUCACUGCCCGGCUCAUAUCCUUCCCCUUUGGAAUUGGCUUGGAGCAGGGUCUCUCCUCCCCGGCCCCUAUGUGCCCACCAUCUCUGGGGUCAGUGGCCCACUCAUGACUCUCAGGGCGGGGAGGGGGCUUGGAGUUCAGUAACAGCACCCUGGGUCAUUCUUGCACCUGUCACCCUGAGAGCCACUGACCAGUUUUCUGUGCCUAGAAUCGCUGCUUGCGGCCUUUCUCAGGGGCUCAAUGGAUUGUAAUUGAUGUUUGUAUUUUGCACUUGCCCGGAGGUGUUUCACGGGAAGUGAGCAUUUUUUAAAACAAAAAUAGAAUUUAGAAAAAAAAAAGGCAGACACGAUGGAUUUCUAGUGUUGUACGUGCUGUAGAAAGCACUUGAAAAUGCGUUUUGCCAGGGGCCGCAACCAGAAGCUACAUGACUUCUGGAAUCUGUUCCUUACACAGUAAAUUCCUGGGCCAGUUGGUAAACAGCAAGGAGCCACAAGAAAUCACUCAUAGGCAAAAGCCGAGUGAGCCCAGGCCAAGCUCCACUUUGUCCACUUUGCCCUAUUUUUGGAAUUCAGGGGGAAACAUCUUGGGAGCAGGCCCAUUGCACCCCUCUGCCUCCUCUCGAUGCCUUACAGUUGGUGGGGUUUGACACAUGGAAAAUUGUGAAAGUUAGAACACGGAACAAAAAUGAAGCCUCAACAUAGAGUUAAUAGAGGCAAGGGGCUACAGAGAAUUUAGAUCCUAAUCAAGCACGUCUUAUGUACUAGCGCUUCCCUGGAAGGCCAGGAUAACUUUAUGACUACAAAGAAAACAUGUUUUCCUGCUUGGAAGUUGCCAGAACUUGUCUAAUAUAAAAGCUGGGAUUUCUUGCCCGUGGGCUGUCGCGUACGGCUACCCAGGCCGCCUCGUGAAGCCUCCUCCUGGGAGCUCGGCGCCCUCAGGUGCUCCCUGAGAUGCCAGCACCUGAACGACCUGCUCCAGGGAGGCUUUAGCCCCAAGAAGGUUCUGGAAAGCUCCAGGAAGUUUAGCCGGCACGCACAAAAGCCAGAGACAAAUCUCCAGCCUGCCUGGAAAUGCUGUGGGCUCAGGGCAAUGGGCUGAGGUCUUGUGUCCAAAACUGCUCUUGCAUCUCCCUGGGGAGCCCGGGUGGGCAGGAACAACAAGGUCCUGUGGCCAUGCCCUCGCCCCAUGCUCACCCACACUGCCUGUGCCUGCUGGGCCCAUCUCAGGGCUGCACUGGCCCCUAGUGGCCAAGCAUGGGCUCUACCCCUCUGCGCCUGCCUGGCUGCCUGUGCAGGUGCCCACCACACUGUCCCUGAGCAGAGCAGAGACCAGCCUGAGCCCCGGGCUCCGUGGCUACCAUGCUGAGAGUGAGCCCUGUGCAUGCACACACACUUACGAUGCUGCUGGCCCCGAGCAGUGGCCGGCCACACGGGCUGCUAGUCAUACUGCCCGCUGCUCCUGGGACUCCUGAGCCCCUCACUCUCUAUAGGGUGAGGAUGCCCAGCUCUGCAAGACACACAGCAAACGGAGCCUCAGAGUGCACAGCGUGGAGAUGGGGCUCCCCCCACAGGCUGCACCCCCAUCUAGUCCCGGGGAACGAGAAUGAAGGGCCUACCUGAGCACACAAGCCCCAGGAGGGCAUGGGAGCUGCAUUUGGGGGCAGUGACUGGGAGGGCUGCUGACUCCAGGCUCAGAUUAAAAGACAGACGGCAACACUGGGGUUGCAGAGCUCAGGAGCCAGUCCUGGCCCCCUGCCUCCUCCCUCAUGAGGUUCCCCUGAUCCCCAGGACAUCGGCUUCCACAUCUGCACAUCUGGGAGACAAAUGCACCAUCAGGGAGGGCAAAUCAUACCUGGGAAGGGCCUGACUCCAGCAGUUUCAGCAGUGGCUGAAAGAUCAUGGCUAUUUUUGCCAUCAUUACAAUGGAAUGUCCACUCCCUCCAGCCACCUCCACAGCAAUCAACACCGGUGUCCAGCCACUCUACAUGGACGUGUGGGGAACAGAGCACAGGCCUCUUGGCUUGGCUGUGGUCACCGGGAGGGAGCAGGGAGGGACAGCUGCCAAGAGGAUGGGGGAGGGAGCCUGCUACUCAGGAACGCUGGGGCAAGACAUGAGACAAAGGGCUGCCUUCACCCACCAGUAGGAGCCUGACCCUGAGCCCAAAGAAACUGCCCACCUGUGUGCUGACCCCAGGGCCUGAGGACAGGUCCCCAAGUGGACGUCUCAAAGAGAGUCCCACAUUCCAGGGCACAUGGGAACUAUGGCCUUCUGGCAGCUGGAGGGCAGCAGGAAGGGCACAGCUGUCUGAGACCCGUGUGGCUUCCCAGAAAGAGGUGCCACCCCUGAGGAGGCACCGGUGCUCACGGACUCCUGGUUGCCAGUCUUGCCAGGGCAAAAAGGCAAGCGAAGGAAACCCUCUCUUCGUGGGGCACUCUGCCUUGCAGUGUCAGGUGAGAUCCCGGGGGGAAAGCUGGCUUGAGCUCCUCUGGAAUGUGCAGGGAGGACUCCGUCAGGCCCGGCUCUGCCUCCAAGCUGGGCAGCAGGCGAGCCCCAGAGCUCCACCAGCCCCACUGGCAGAGGAGGGCCCUCACGAGGCAGGAGCCCAUGAUUCAUGCCCUGCUGGAAUUUGUCGAGCAUGCCGAGAUUUGCAGCUCCUCCGAGAUUGGGUCCUGCCCUGAUCAAAAGAAAAGAAGAUGGAUGAGGACACUAUAAAUAGGCCAGAGCCACCCAGCUGGCCUCGGGGAUGCAGGCGGUAUGUGUUCUGGGCUCUCACGAAGCUAAGAAACUCUAAAUCCAAGGUGACAUCGUGGCACACCGCCACCUGCUUCAGGGGGACACAGGGGACAAGGAGGAGCUAUUGGCAGAGCGCUCGGUUCCUGCAAGUUCCAACUUCUGCUAAAAUUGGUUAAUUGGUUCCUUUGCAUGAUUCAGGGCACACAGGCUUCUCUGUCCACAAAAUUUGCUCGCCUGCACACCCAGAGAAAUGGACUUGGCUUGGUUUUUCUGAACUUUUGCCUCUGCGGAAUCAGCAGUGGACGUGUGAGCUGGGGCCUCUGUCCCUGUCAUGUGAGGAGGUCAGGCAGGACAAGCAGGAAGCACUGGGCAAUGAGUCAGGAGGCCUGGUGGGGAGCUUGGGUGAGUCUGUUUUCCUCUCUGGACCUCAGUCUUCUCCUCUGGUUGAUGUAAUAAAAUCCUACAAACUGAGUCUUUUUUUUUUUUUUUGAGACAGAGUCUUACUCUCUCACCCAGGCUGGAGUGCAGUAACAUGAUCUCAGCUCACUGCAACCUUCAUCUCCCGGGUUCAAGCAAUUCUCCUGCCUCAGCCUCCUGAGUAGCUGGGAUUACAGGCAUGCACCACCAUGCCCGGCUAAUUUUUGUAUUUUUAGUAGAGACAAGGUUUCACCAUGUUGGCCAGGCUGGUCUCGAACUCCUGACCUCAGGUGAUCCACCCGCCUUGGCCUCCCAAAGUACUAGGAUUACAGGUAUGAGCCACUGCACCCAGCCACACAAACUUAGUGUUUUGUUUUGUUUUGUUUUGUUUUGAGACAGAGUCUCGCUGUGUCGCCAGCUGGAGUGCAGUGGCGCGAUCUCAGCUCACUGCAAGCUCCACCUCCUGGGUUCAUGCCAUUCUCCUGCCUCAGCCUCCCGAGUAGCUGGGACUACAGGUGCCCACCACCACGCCCGGCUAAUUUUUUUUUUCUUAGUAGAGACAGGGUUUUACCGUGUUAACCAGGAUGGUCUCGAUCUCCUGAACUUGUGAUCCGCCCGCCUCAGCCUCCCAAAGUGCUGGGAUUACAGGCGUGAGCCACCACGCCCGGCCCAAACUUAGUCUUAAAGUUAACUUAGUCUUAAACAAGAUGCUGAUUAUCUGCUGGUUGCGGAGGUCAGCGGUCUGAGAUGGCUCUCUCUACAUCUCUACAUGGGUGAACGUCACAAUGUCUGCCUUGUUGGGGUCAAGCCAGGUUCUGCUGGGAAGCCAGUGCUCGUGGUCUGCCAGAGUCCAGGACGGGGCUGUGCAGUCGGCAGGAGGAAUGCAGUGAAGUGCCACUGUGCCAGUUCCAGGCCUGAGACUUAACAAGACCCAGCAGCUUUGGCCUGUGCGUUCUCAGGAGACUGCUGCCACCUAAGAAGUCUGACCAGCCUGAUGGAGAGGGGCUACCCAGAGGACAUUGAGGGUGCAGAGAUGUGAGUGAUAAGUCAUCUUGGACAUUCUGCCACCAUCUGACGGCAACUGCAUGAGAGACCACAAGCAGAAGAACUACCCAGCUGAGCCCAGCCAACCCACAGAACCCUGAGAAAUAAUAACGAAGUGUUGUUUCAAUGGUGUGUUUGUUACGCAGCAAUAGGUAGCUGGUGCACUCUACUUACCAGCCAAGGGUUCUUGUGCAAGUCAUUUGCGUGAACUCUACUGCACUUUGCAAAUGGGGGUGAUUCUCACUAAUCUAAGCCAGGAAAGUCUACCUGCUCACCCUGGGUAUCAUGAAGAACAGCUUUAGAACAAUACUUUAGUUCCCUCUUACAAAGCCAUAAAGGUUCCAGAAAUGUGAGGUUCAGACUCAGAGAACCCAGUAAUCUAUCAUCCCAAAUACACAUCCGAGAGGGUUGUUCCCCUCUUGAAGGGUCACCGGCAGCUCCUCAUCUCUGGACCUUUCUGGGUCUGCCCUGCCCACUAGUCAGCCCCAUCUCCCAUCCCCCACUGGCCCCUUCCCCAGUUUGUACAUUUGACAACGUAUGACUUGGUGUUCUAGCUGCGGCUCAAAUGCUGCCUCCUCUGACACCUUCCCUGUCCUCUGGGCAGGCUAGGGUGCUCCUCAUCUGUUCCCACA
rnacentral:lncRNA from 1 species